rnacentral:siRNA from 1 species
AGGAAUGCCUUCCCUCGCAAACCU